CCUACGGGAGGCUGCAGUGGGGAAUAUUGGACAAUGGGGGCAACCCUGAUCCAGCCAUGCCGCGUGUGUGAAGAAGGCCCUCGGGUUGUAAAGCACUUUCAGUGAGGAAGAAUGCCUGGUGGUUAAUACCCAUCAGGAAAGACAUCACUCACAGAAGAAGCACCGGCUAACUCCGUGCCAGCAGCCGCGGUAAUACGGAGGGUGCGAGCGUUAAUCGGAAUUACUGGGCGUAAAGCGCGCGUAGGUGGCUUGAUAAGCCGGUUGUGAAAGCCCCGGGCUCAACCUGGGAACGGCAUCCGGAACUGUCAAGCUAGAGUGCAGGAGAGGAAGGUAGAAUUCCCGGUGUAGCGGUGAAAUGCGUAGAGAUCGGGAGGAAUACCAGUGGCGAAGGCGGCCUUCUGGACUGACACUGACACUGAGGUGCGAAAGCGUGGGUAGCAAACAGGAUUAGAUACCCCUGUAGUC
rnacentral:rRNA from 1 species